rnacentral:lncRNA from 1 species
GCAGAUAGAAUUAAGGUAGCUGACUCAGCUGGCCUUAAAGUGGGGCCAUCCUCCUGGAGAAUCCACGUGGGCCUAAUGUAAUCACGAGGGUCUUUAUAAGUGAAAGAGGGAGGUGGGAAAGUUGGAGUCAGAGUCAGAGAAGGAGAUGUGAUGACGGAAACAGAGAUUGGAGUGAUGUGAUUGCUGCUUUAGAGAUGGAAGGGGGCCACAAGCCAAGGAAUGCAGGCAGCCUCUUGUAACUGGAGAAGUCAGGGACAUGGAUUCUCUCCUGGAGUUUCUGGAAGAAAACAGCCCUGCUGACACCUUGGUUUUAGCCCUGUGAGACCCAUUUGGAACUUCUGACCUCCAAAACUAAGGCUCGCUGGAACGGAGACCACCCCCAGAGAAGUUUUAGAGACUAAAUGUUGAAGAUGGCAGAGCUGAAAGUGCUUGACCCGCCCAUUCCCUUGCCCCUGAAUCUUUGCUUGGAGUAGAGACACUUCAUGAUAGGAAGCACUCGUUUUGGAAUUUACGUGACUGAGAAACGUAUAUUGUGUCAAGACCUUUCAAAGCAAGAAAUAAACUUCCUGACAAAACACGACCUUAAAGCUUACAACAUCCCUAGCUUUCAUCGGCGUCUCCAAGGAGUCUACGACCCCCCAAGAGUUAGGAGCC